UGUCUAUGAAGCUGCGAACUUUGAGCUC
rnacentral:sRNA from 1 species